GAUGAACGCUGGCGGCGUGCCUAAUACAUGCAAGUCGAGCGAACAGACGAGGAGCUUGCUCCUCUGACGUUAGCGGCGGACGGGUGAGUAACACGUGGAUAACCUACCUAUAAGACUGGGAUAACUUCGGGAAACCGGAGCUAAUACCGGAUAAUAUAUUGAACCGCAUGGUUCAAUAGUGAAAGACGGUUUUGCUGUCACUUAUAGAUGGAUCCGCGCCGCAUUAGCUAGUUGGUAAGGUAACGGCUUACCAAGGCAACGAUGCGUAGCCGACCUGAGAGGGUGAUCGGCCACACUGGAGCUGGAACAGGGUCCCGGCUCCUGCGGGAGGCAGCAGUAGGGAAUCUUCCGCAAUGGGCGGAAGCCUGACGGAGCAACGGCGCGUGAGUGAUGGAGGUCUUCGGAUCGUGAAACUCUGUUAUUAGGGAAAAACAAAUGUGUAAGUAACUAUGCACGGCUUGACGGUAACGAAUCAGGAAGCCACGGCUAACUACGUG
rnacentral:rRNA from 1 species